AACGAACGCUGGCGGCAUGCCUAACACAUGCAAGUCGAACGAGACCUUCGGGUCUAGUGGCGCACGGGUGCGUAACGCGUGGGAAUCUGCCCUUCGGUUCGGAAUAACAGUGGGAAACUACUGCUAAUACCGGAUAAUGACGUAAGUCCAAAGAUUUAUCGCCGAAGGAUGAGCCCGCGUAGGAUUAGCUAGUUGGUGGGGUAAAGGCCUACCAAGGCGACGAUCCUUAGCUGGUCNGAGAGGAUGAUCAGCCACACUGGGACUGAGACACGGCCCAGACUCCUACGGGAGGCAGCAGUGGGGAAUAUUGGACAAUGGGGCGAAAGCCUGAUCCAGCAAUGCCGCGUGAGUGAUGAAGGCCUUAGGGUUGUAAGACUCUUUUACCCGGGAUGAUAAUGACAGUACCGGGAGAAUAAGCUCCGCUAACUCCGUG
rnacentral:rRNA from 1 species